GUGCUCACUUCAGCAGCAUAUAUACUAAAGUUGGAACGAUACGGAGAUCAGCAGGGCCCCUGCACAAGGACGACACGCAAAUUCGUGAAGGGUUCCAUAUUUUU
rnacentral:snRNA from 1 species